rnacentral:rRNA from 1 species
UACGUAGGGUCCGAGCGUUGUCCGGAAUUACUGGGCGUAAAGCGCGCGCAGGCGGCCCGCGAGGUGUCACGUGAAAGCCCCGGGCUCAACCCGGGAGGGUCGUGGCAAACCGGCGGGCUUGAGGCCGGUAGAGGUGGGUGGAACUCCUGGUGGAGUGGUGAAAUGCGUAGAGAUCAGGAGGAACACCGGUGGCGAAGGCGGGUCUCUGGGCCGAUACUGACGCUGAGACGCGAAAGCGUGGGGAGCAAACAGG